GAUGAACGCUGGCGGCGUGCCUAACACAUGCAAGUCGAGCGAGAAGUAAAGAAAUGAAGCUUCGGUAGAUUUUCAUUAUGGGAAGCGGCGGACGGGUGAGUAACGCGUAGGCAACCUGCCCUGUACAGGGGGAUAGCCACCCGAAAAGGUGAUUAAUACCCCAUGAUGCAAGAGAUACACAUGUAUCACUUGUCAAAGAUUUAUCGGUAUGGGAUGGGCCUGCGUCUGAUUAGCUAGUUGGUAGGGUAACGGCUUACCAAGGCAACGAUCAGUAGCCGACCUGAGAGGGUGAUCGGCCACAUUGGAACUGAGACACGGUCCAAACUCCUACGGGAGGCAGCAGUGGGGAAUAUUGCACAAUGGGGGAAACCCUGAUGCAGCAACGCCGCGUGAAGGAAGAAGGCCUUCGGGUUGUAAACUUCUGUCCUAGGGGAAGAAACAAAUGACAUACCCUGGA
rnacentral:rRNA from 1 species